rnacentral:rRNA from 1 species
GUCGAACGCUGGCGGCGUGCUUAACACAUGCAAGUCGAACGGAAAGGCCCUGCUUUUGUGGGGUGCUAGCGUGGCGAACGGGUGUGUUACACGUGAGUCACCUGCCCUUGACUUUGGGAUAACUUCAGGAAACUGCGGCUACUACCGGCUAGGAGCUCCUGCUGCAUGGUGGGGUUUGGACAGUUUCGGCGGAUGGGGAUGGACUCGCGGCUUAUCAGCUUGUUGGUGGGGUAGUGGCUUACCAAGGCUUUGACGGGUAGCCGGCCUGAGAGGGGGACCGGCGACAUUGGGACUGAGAUACGGCCCAGACUGCUACGGGAGGCAGCAGUGGGGAAUAUUGUACAAUGGGCGGAAGCCUGAUGCGGCAACGCUGCGAGCGGGAUGACGGCCUUCGUGUUGUGAACCGCAGUCGCCUGUGACGAAGCGGUAGUGACGUUAAUAGGUAAAGAAGCACCGGCUAACUACGUG